CUGGGUGGCCAUGGCGACGGGGCCCACCCCUUUCCAUUCCGAACAGGGAAGUUAAGCCCGUCUGCGCCGAUGGUACUGCCCCACAAGGGUGGGAGAGUAGGCCGCCGCCUUUC
rnacentral:rRNA from 1 species